AGCAGCCGCGGUAAUUCCAGCUCCAAUAGCGUAUAUUAAAGUUGCUGCAGUUAAAAAGCUCGUAGUUGAAUUUCGGGACUAAUAUGUCGGUCGUGCCUCGGUACGUACUGGUAUUUUUGGUUUCUACCUUCUGACGAACCUUGAUGUCAUUAAUUUGGUGUCUUGGGAAAUCAGGACUGUUACUUUGAAAAAAUUAGAGUGUUUAAAGCAGGCUCACGCUUGAAUACAUUAGCAUGGAAUAAUGAAAUAGGACGUUUGAUUCUAUUUUGUUGGUUUCUAGGAUCGACGUAAUGACUAAUAGGGAUAGUUGGGGGCAUUAGUAUUCAAUUGUCAGAGGUGAAAUUCUUGGAUUUAUUGAAGACUAACUACUGCGAAAGCAUUUGCCAAGGAUGUUUUCAUUAAUCAAGAACGAAAGUUAGGGGAUCGAAGACGAUCAGAUACCGUCGUAGUCUUAACCAUAAACUAUGCCGACUAGGGAUCGGAUGAUGUUAAUUUUUUAAUGACUCAUUCGGCGCCUUACG
rnacentral:rRNA from 1 species